rnacentral:rRNA from 1 species
ACGGCGAGUGAAGCGGCAACAGCUCAAAUUUUGAAAUCUUGGCCCCAGGCCCGAGUUUGUAAUUUGCAGAGGAUGCUUUUGGCGCGGUGCCUUCCGAGUUCCCUGGAACGGGACGCCAUAGAGGGUGAGAGCCCCGUCUGGUCGGACACUAAGCCUCUGUAAAGCUCCUUCGACGAGUCGAGUAGUUUGGGAAUGCUGCUCAAAAUGGGAGGUAUAUGUCUUCUAAAGCUAAAUACCGGCCAGAGACCGAUAGCGCACAAGUAGAGUGAUCGAAAGAUGAAAAGCACUUUGAAAAGAGAGUUAAAUAGCACGUGAAAUUGUUGAAAGGGAAGCGUUCAUGACCAGACUUGGCCCGGUUGAUCAUCCAGCGUUCUCGCUGGUGCACUCUGCCGGUCCAGGCCAGCAUCAGUUCGUCGCGGGGGAUAAAGGCUUCGGGAAUGUAGCUCCCCUCGGGGAGUGUUAUAGCCCGCUGCGUAAUACCCUGCGGUGGACUGAGGUCCGCGCUUCUGCAAGGAUGCUGGCGUAAUGGUCAUCAACGACCCGUCUUGAAACACGGACCAAGGAGUCGUCUUCGUAUGCGAGUGUUCGGGUGUCAAACCCCUACGCGUAAUGAAAGUGAACGCAGGUGAGAGCUUCGGCGCAUCAUCGACCGAUCCUGAUGUUCUCGGAUGGAUUUGAGUAAGAGCAUACGGGGCCGGACCCGAAAGAAGGUGAACUAUGCCUGUAUAGGGUGAAGCCAGAGGAAACUCUGGUGGAGGCUCGCAGCGGUUCUGACGUGCAAAUCGAUCGUCAAAUAUGGGCAUGGGGGCGAAAGACUAAUCGAACCU